rfam:Hordeum vulgare subsp. vulgare, WGS project CAJW01000000 data, contig: morex_contig_1561272
AUUGUACUUCCUUCAUCCCAAAAUUCUUGUCUUAAGUUUGUUUAGAAAUGAAUAUAUCUAAAUAUUAAAAUAUAACUAGAUACAUUUAUAUUUAGACAAAUCUAAUACAAGAAUUUUGGGACCAAAGAAGUACAAC